rnacentral:rRNA from 1 species
UACGUAGGGUGCAAGCGCUAAUCGGAAUUACUGGGCGUAAAGCGUGCGCAGGCGGUGAUGUAAGACAGAUGUGAAAUCUCCGGGCUCAACCUGGGAACUGCAUUUGUGACUGCAUCGCUGGAGUGCGGCAGAGGGGGAUGGAAUUCCGCGUGUAGCAGUGAAAUGCGUAGAUAUGCGGAGGAACACCGAUGGCGAAGGCAAUCCCCUGGGCCUGCACUGACGCUCAUGCACGAAAGCGUGGGGAGCAAACAGG